ensembl:lncRNA
GCGGGCGGGCAGGGCGGAGGCCCAUCGGCUUCUCUGAAGCGCUCGCACCUCUCCCUCCUUUGCGGAUGUGCUGGACCAGCCCAAGUUUCUGUGUGCUUGUUUUGUUGUUAUUCUUUCUGGGGGUUUGAGAGUGCGUGUUAUUCUGUUUGAAACCUCCCAUUUUCUGUUUCUGCUCCUUAGUGGUGCUGUUCACAUUUUUUAGCAAACGGUUGAAGGGACUUUGACUCCCUCCCUACACCACCCGCAACAACGAAAGAAAGAAAAAGAAAUGGGGACACAACCUAAAGGCCCGAACUUGCCGUGAAAAAUAGGAUUAUCUAAGAGAUGAAAUGACUGAUUCAGAGUUCAAUCCAAGUAAAGGAUUUUUGCUUCCUCCUUUUGAGUGACGGAACUUGGAGUGGAACACAAAAAUUUUUCAUGCAGCUCCUGGGAGACCAGAAUGUGACGAUCAUGGAGACCUUCGAUUUUAACAGAGAUCCUUUCUCUAUAACUAAUUCGACGCAUGGCUAUAUGGGUAAUUUUGAACAAGUGGAUCUUUCUCCAACCUGAAAGGCUGCCAGGAGGGAGAGCGAGGGAGAAAAAGAGGGUUUCAAAGGCGUCACAGAGAACCACAAAGUAAUCACGAAGCACCACUGUAUUGCCCCAAUCUCCUGACAGAAGUGCAUUGAGAGGUGCUGAUAUAGAACAGAAGAGGACACAUCGUUACAAUAAAAUACUCUGUAAUACCUGGGACAACAGUUGGAAAUCAUUUUGUCAUCAAACAGAGUGCCCGAAAUUGAAGAAACUGACUGUGUUUCCUGUGAGGAAUUUUUAAAGAACUAUUAUAGUUCCUGCCCACCCCCUCCCUUACUAUUUUACAGAAUUUCACAGAGCUGUGAAAUGUGAAAUACAGAAGACUAGAAAUGUGUAAUAGGAGCUGCCAUUGUAACCUUUAUAUAUCACAUUUAAUGGGGAAAAAAGCCUUUUAGCCAAAGAUUACAUUAUACAAGUGUAUAAUUAAGAUUACUUACUCUAAAUUUAGAUAUGACUAUCUUAUUGAAUCCAAAAUGUUGGAAUAAAUCAUUAAAGAGGGCACAGGCUUCCAAUCCUGUGAUGUCCUGACAAAUGGAAUACAUUUGGGGUCCUAUCAUAGCUUCGUAGUAAAUGGAGGAAAAUUUGAUUUUGCAAAUGUCAAUGGAGAUAUUUUAAUAGGACCAAUAAAAUGAAAAAUCUCAGUGAAUUAAAAC